rnacentral:rRNA from 1 species
UACAGAGGUGGCAAGCGUUGUUCGGAAUUACUGGGCGUAAAGCGUGCGUAGGCGGUUUGUUAAGUCUGUCGUUAAAGCCCCGGGCUCAACCUGGGAAUGGCGAUGGAUACUGGCGAGCUAGAGUACGGUAGAGGAGAGUGGAAUUCCCGGUGUAGCAGUGAAAUGCGUAGAGAUCGGGAGGAACAUCAGUUGCGAAGGCGGCUCUCUGGACCAGUACUGACGCUGAGGCACGAAAGCGUGGGGAGCAAACAGG